rnacentral:rRNA from 1 species
GCUAUGGCGACGCGGAGGGACAUUA